rnacentral:rRNA from 1 species
GAUCCUGGCUCAGGAUGAACGCUAGCUACAGGCUUAACACAUGCAAGUCGAGGGGCAGCAUGUCGGUUGCUUGCAACCGAUGAUGGCGACCGGCGCACGGGUGAGUAACGCGUAUCCAACCUACCCUUGUCCAUCGGAUAACCCGUCGAAAGGCGGCCUAACACGAUAUGCGGUUCUCAGCAGGCAUCUAACGGGAACGAAAUGUGAAGGAGAAGGAUGGGGAUGCGUCUGAUUAG